UCAAAUGCGAUGACGAGACGAGUAGACAAAGGGUGCGCUUUACCAGAGAGCUCCGGCAGCUGGAAAGGAGCAAAGCGUCUUUGUUGAAGAAAGACUCCGAGCAGCACAUCGGAAUCCGAUGCCGGAGGAUGGUGUGCCAGGUGCUCCUGUUACAGAGCUAGAGUAUAACCGCUUGCGCUUGGGAUGCAGCGGCGUACUCGAAGAGGCCGGUUUGGCGACAAACCGGCGAAUCCGGGUGGUACCGCGGGAACGACAUCUCGCCCCAGAG
rnacentral:ncRNA from 1 species